GAAUAACUAUCUUAUUGCAAUUUUGAAUAAUUUUAUUAUUCUCCGUACUAUCAUAUAAUGGCAUCAGUAAAAUCCUAAAACUUAAAUCUCUCUUUUAUAACUACUACAGUUGUUUAACAGCCUUCUGAUGACUUGAUAUAAGCAAUUGACGUCAUAUUUAAGUAUGUAUAAGAUGUGAAUGAAUAGGAUUUUCACAGAACAACUGAAAAUCAACUAUCACUAAACAAUAAUCUUAGUUGAUGUAAUGUUUUUAGAAAAUUAUAUAGCCAAAAUAAGAACAUUGCAAACUUUAUCUAAAGGAUGCAUUUGUUCUUCAAUAUAUUCAACUAAAGUGAUGUUAAAAAAUUAAUCAGUUCUAUUUGUAAAUAAGUUCAUGAUCCUUUUUUAUAUUGAUAUGUGUAACAGUUUUUUUACAUUUUUACUUUCUGUAUUUUCCUCAACAAAAAUACUUCACAUUAUGGGUCCAAGAAAGUCUUCUCCCACAACAAUGAAGCCUAUAAUCCUCCUGAGCACUAGCCGCAACACACAAAUGCAAAGGAAAAGGCCCAAGAGCAGUAGUAAGAGCAGUUCUCAUAGCUCCUGUGAUGCUCAGACAGGCCAAUCUUUGAAUAUUUUCAAGUUCAGUCCUACAAAUCUU
rnacentral:lncRNA from 1 species